AUUAAAGUGGCAGAUAAAGUGCGAGGAAUUUAAGCUUCCUAUAUGAGUUCUCCUUUAAUA
rnacentral:tRNA from 1 species